GUUCAGAUUGUAGGCUGAAACUCGCCUAUAUGAAGUCGGAAUUGCUAGUAAUCGCGGAUCAGCAUGCCGCGGUGAAUACGUUCCCGGGCCUUGUACACACCGCCCGUCACACCAUGAGAGUCGAUAACACCCGAAGCCUGUAGCCUAACAGCAAUGAGGACGCAGUCGAAGGUGGGAUUGAUAAUUAGGGUGAAGUCGUAACAAGGUACC
rnacentral:rRNA from 1 species